AUUGAACGCUGGCGGAAUGCUUUACACAUGCAAGUCGAACGGCAGCACGGACUUCGGUCUGGUGGCGAGUGGCGAACGGGUGAGUAAUGUAUCGGAACGUGCCCAGUCGUGGGGGAUAACGUAGUGAAAAUUACGCUAAUACAGCAUACGAUCUAUGGAUGAAAGCGGGGGAUCGCAAGACCUCGCGCGAUUGGAGCGGCCGAUAUCAGAUUAGGUAGUUGGUGGGGUAAAGGCCCACCAAGCCAACGAUCUGUAGCUGGUCUGAGAGGACGACCAGCCACACUGGAACGGAGACACGGUCCAGACUCCUACGGGAGGCAGCAGUGGGGAAUUUUGGACAAUGGGCGAAAGCCUGAUCCAGCCAUUCCGCGUGCAGGAUGAAGGCCCUCGGGUUGUAAACUGCUUUUGUACAGAACGAAAAGGUUUCUACUAAUACUAGGAGCUCAUGACGGUACUGUAAGAAUAAGCACCGGCUAACUACGUGCCAGCCGCCGCGUAA
rnacentral:rRNA from 1 species